AAAGGAAGAAGUCCGGGCUGCUUUGGUCCCCAAGUUAUGGCUGCUCACCUCCACCUGCCGGACAAGUAGGCUGGGCUUAAGCAGCCCGCCUGGUGUCCCCCCGCAGUCUGCGCUAACUGCCACCGACCGUCCCGGGCGGCGCCCCUGCUGCUUCCAUCAGGUAGCUCCAGUAUCGAAACCCAGCAGAGCCCUGACACGUCUCGGGGACCGUGCGUACCCCUUCUUUCCUGCGCCUGCGUCCCACCUGUUGGCUGUAUUGCGUCCUUAAUUUCCCGGUACGCCUGCAGCUCAGCAGCCCCGGUAGGCUGUCAAUCAUCCUAGUAGUCCCGUCCCCCCCCCCGCACCCCUCCCCCGCCCGCUGCUGUUUCCCAGGGGUUCGGCUGUGAGCAUGAACCUGCGCGUGGAGCUUCCAGCGCGCUCAUUUUUCAGCACGCGCCGUUCAGUCCAGAGCCGCACAGCAACCUCUGGGGGAGAUGUUGAGAUCACACAGGUUUUACGAGGAAAUGACAUUGGGGAGACCUCAGCGAUGGAAACGCGGUAGAACUGGGAGGGAGAGUUUAAGAGAGGAUGGAGCUGCCAUAUUGUAUUAUGGGAGAUGCCCAAAGACCAACUGGGUCGGUGCGAGAUUUUUUUUUUUUUUCUUGAGGCGUGGGUGGCAGGAGAUGUGAUCUGAGGAACAAGCGGGAGACAGUUUCUAACAGGGGACUAUCCCAUAAUUUUAAAGAAGACGCUGGUGGGUUUAAGCCGGGCUGUGGCUAGGCACUGUGGCUGCGGUGAAACGGGUAAGGGGCUCUUGGAAUACUGCACGGUUGCCCUUGGGGAAUUAUGUCAUCGACCUUUCUGCUCUCACACUCAGGGUGUGGAUGGAUGGGUAGGAACACUUGGGUUUAUUCCUUCGAUGAGUCACAAAAACAACAAACCAAACAAACCCAACAACCAAACAAAACCGAAACAAUCAAACAAACAAACAAACAAGAAAAGGGAACUGAACCCCAGAAACAAAAACCCUAAUAGUUAGUUCCCUGCCUAACAGGUUCUCCUUAGCAUUGUCAAUCCGAACCCCAAAAUUCUGGUAGCUUUUUUUGUUGGUUUUUGAAACGUCUCCAACGAUUGGUCAACAGCUUUUCACAUUAAAGACACAGAGGACACCCCUGGCUAGUUAGCCAGUUGCCUGCCGCCGGACUCUGGAAUGUUAGGCCAGUGGUUGCCAUAGCGACCGGGCGGGAGGGAUAGAUUGACUAGUUAGGAACCAGUUCCUGUUAAGGGACCGGUCCUUGAGGUCUUGAGGAGGAUUCCGCGCACUCCAUGGGACACCCACGGAGACCUCCAUACUCCGGGUGCGUGCGGAAUCUCUGUGGCCAGUUGGGUGGUGCCUCGGAUGCCAGAAGGUGCCACUUGGGGUACGAGUGGGUCAGCUUAAGCCCUCAGUGUACCAACGUGAAAAGAGCUCCCCCUUGGGCCCGGUGAAUGGUUGGACAUCUGAUGCCCCUACUUCAGUCUUUGAGGGGGUCUCAGAACUGGGCGGUGGGUGAACCUCCAAGAGCCAGCUCUAACAGAACCCUUUUGGUACUCCCGCGUCUUCCUCAGCAAGUCUUUAUUCUGGACUCCAUUUUGGCCAAAUGAAAGGGUGAGACUGGCUUCUCGAAGCCACUAACCAGUUGGUACAGUUCCAUGUAGGCCUUGAACACACUCUCUCACCAAGCAAAAUAGCUAAUGGGUCAAUCUCCUGGGGCUUUGAAAGGUCUUUUGAAUCUCCUGUGCCUUCCACUAUCCUUUAGUAGGGAUGUUUCAAGUUGGAGGAAAUCAGGCUAGACCGUGACCAUCCGUCAUGACCCAUCAAGUGCAGGAGGCUCACCUGGCAAGCAGCAUCCUGGGCAGAGCUAGGUUAUAUCUGUUCUCUACCAACUGUACCAGCAUUCCAUGGAAGACUGGAAAGCAAGAUAGAUACUUGUUUCCUUCUGGUGGUAGAAUAAUGUACUCUUUGACAGUUUUAUACUUUCUUAAAAUUUUCCAAAAAUUUGAUAAUUUGCGUGAGAAGCAUAAUUUUAAAAAUCUCUUGCAACUUUUAAAAAAUAGAUUAUUUUAAUUUUAUGUACAUUGGUGUUUUGACUGCAUGUGUGUCUGUGUGAAGGUUGUCAGAUUGCCCCUGGAACAGGAGUUAUAGUUGUGAGCUGCCAUGUUCAUGAGAAUUGAACUCUUAACCUCUCUCUGAGUCAUCUCUCCAGCCCCGAAUUUUUUUUCUUUAAAGACAAAGUCUCACUAUGUAGUCCUGGCUAGCUUGGAAAGCUCUAUUUAAACCAGGCUGGCCUUAGGCUCACAGAGAUCCAUCCACCUUUUCAUGUUGGCAUUAAAGGAGAAAACAUCACUCCAAAAUUUUUUGUUGUCAUUUAAAAAAAUUAAUUUUCACUUUAUGAAUAUGGAUAUUUUUCUCUGUCUGUCUGUUUCUGUAGCACACACAGGCCUGGUGCCUGUGGUGGCCAGGAAAGGGAGAUUAUCAGGUCUGUUUACACUGGAGCUAUAUAAUGGCUUGGGGCCUCCAUAUGAAUGCUUAGAAUGGAACUCAGGCCCUCUGGAAAACCAGUCAGUGCCCUUCACCACUAGGCCAUCUCUCCAGCCCUGUUGCUUUGUUUUGUGAGAUAGGGGUCUGGACAUAUGAUCCAAGCUGGCCUAGAACUCAGCGUGUAGAUCGGGCUAUCCUUGAACUUCUGAUCCUCUCGCCUCUAUUUCAAAGUGCUUGGAUUACACGUCCCACUGCUGUUGCUGCCGAACAAACCAGGGCUUUGUCUUCAUGAGACACCAUUCCCAGCGUUCUCCAACAGCAGCGUCCUUAACGGGAGGGCUAAAAAAUGGUCCUUACUAAAACAGCAAGGUCACACGGCAAUGCGGUUAGUGAAUACUGGCUGCUUUCAGAGACAGUAAAAGGCACUGUUCUCUGGUCAGUAUUGAUCGCUGUUUGGAAAUAUCUUAAUGUUUUAAAGCCAUAGUUUCCCGUGAUCUUAUUAAAUGUUAAAAUCUUAGAUUAUACAAAUUGCCCUCGCGAAGAAGAAUCCAUCAAGGAACACACAGUGAAGAAGAAAGUUCUAGACGGACUUAAAAUUGCUUACUCAAUUCCCCCAUUCACUAAGAUUUAGAGACAGGGAGAGUUCCUUAGGGCGUAUGGGUAAAAUGAAUCCAGAGUCAGCUCAUGAAAAAUUAACUGCUUUGGAGAUGAAACUGUGUACAUGCUAUUGACAACUAAAUG
rnacentral:lncRNA from 1 species